rnacentral:rRNA from 1 species
CCUACGGGGGGCAGCAGUGAGGAAUAUUGGUCAAUGGGAGAGAUCCUGAACCAGCCAAGCCGCGUGAGGGAAGACGGCCCUAUGGGUUGUAAACCUCUUUUGUCGGAGAACAAAACCCGGGACGUGUCCCGUACUGCGUGUAUCCGAAGAAAAAGCAUCGGCUAACUCCGUGCCAGCAGCCGCGGUAAUACGGAGGAUGCGAGCGUUAUCCGGAUUUACUGGGUGUAAAGGGAGCGUAGACGGCAGGGUAAGUCUGGUGUGAAAGUCAGGGGCCCAACCCCUGAACUGCCCUGGAAACUGGCAGGCUGGAGUGCAGGAGAGGUAAGUGGAAUGCGUAGUGUAGCGGUGAAAUGCGUAGAUAUCACGAGGAACACCAGUGGCGAAGGCGGCUUACUGGACUGUAACUGACGUUGAGGCUCGAAAGCGUGGGGAGCAAACAGGAUUAGAUACCCCGGUAGUC